GAUGAACGCUGGCGGCGUGCCUAAUACAUGCAAGUCGAGCGAACAGACGAGGAGCUUGCUCCUCUGACGUUAGCGGCGGACGGGUGAGUAACACGUGGAUAACCUACCUAUAAGACUGGGAUAACUUCGGGAAACCGGAGCUAAUACCGGAUAAUAUAUUGAACCGCAUGGGUCAAUAGUGAAAGACGGUUGUGCUGUCACUUAUAGAUGGAUCCGCGCCGCAUUAGCUAGUUGGUAAGGUAACGGCUUACCAAGGGAACGAUGCGUAGCCGACCUGAGAGGGUGAUCGGCGACACUGGAGCUGAGACACGGUCCAGACUCCUACGGGAGGCAGCAGUAGGGAAUGUUACGCAAUGGGCGAAAGCUUGACGGAGCAACGCCGCGUGAGUGAUGAAGGUCUUCGGAUCGUAAAACUCUGUUAUUAGGGAAGAACAAAUGUGUAAGUAAAUAUGCACGUCUUGACGGUACCUAAUAAGAAAGCCACGGCUAACUACGUG
rnacentral:rRNA from 1 species